AUUCCUGUGGUCUUCUUCGGUGGUGUCGUGACGUUGGCUGCUGUGGCGGGCCGCGAUGGCUGCGUCCAGGAACCAGGCUGCCUUCUCUGGUGUCGGAGCACGCAGUUCGGACUGGUUCUGGAGCUGUGAUGGGGUCCUCGCACAGGUAGACCCCAGGUGACUGUCCAUCCUGCAGGCUGCCAGUGGCCACCUCUGAGAAGACGGGUGUGAUGCCGAUGAUUUUGUGUGAGGAGGCCAGGUUCAUGAAGAAUAUAAAAAGGCAAAUCGGGCCAGAUUCUCUUCAUUGUAAAAAGCUUGGAGUGCCCAAAACAGAAGACGCAUCCGUCUGCUCCAUUCACGACCGACUGAAUCACCUCGGCAACCGUUCCUGCGCAAACUUCCGCCUAGCAACAGAUGAUAGAUGGAUCACAAGACAGAUGGAUAGAAGAGUAUGAUGGGUGGCAGGUUGAGGUACCGAUGAGUCGGGCCGCCCACUGACCUGCGACGCAUCAGGAGGGAAGGCGCCGUCAAAGGAAAGAACUGGACUCCGCCAGGUUGGACUGAGAUGCCGGACAUACACGCACCAUCACUUUCACCUGAGGGCCAACAAGAAGAAAUGUCACGAGAGCGACGUGAACACAACCGAAUCCCAAUGUAAGAAGAAGGAACAUGCGGAGCUUCUUUGGAACGGAGCAUGGAGAACUUCCACUGCCCGAGGCCGGGGAGCCUGUCCCAAAACCCGGAGAUCCGCCAAGAGAACCUGGAGAUCCGGUGCAUAUCCCCGGGGAGAUGGUCCCAGGCGAUCCAGACAGGGAGCCUGGUGAGGAGAUCCCCGAGCCAGGAGAAGGGGUGCCCGUUGAGCUGGGCAUGGAGCCUGCGCCUUCGGGUGCGGGUCGAGAGCUGGAUCGGCUGGUUUCCUCGUAAGCCUUUCGGUACCAUGUGUCCGGGAAAAAGGAGGCUGAUUUGGUGGGGGAAGUGUCGGGUAUCUGUGGGGCAUUUAACACAGGAGUGAGCUCUGCUGUACGCACACUUGCUAUUGUUAGCACCUUGCUUCACUAAAUGGAAAACGUCACACAAAAUAGAAUCUCAUAAGAUUUAAAGGGAAAAUAAAACCCAAAAUGUUCUCGACAAUAAUAUGUUCAAUGCGCCUCCACUCGGCAUUCUGAUUAAUAUUGCAGUCGUGGAAUAUGAGUUGAUCAAAUCCAUUUUUAUCCAUCUCGGCGGGCCGCGGCAUUAUGACGACUUGCGCAAUUUAAUGAGAUCCAAUACAAGUACAAAUUCUAGAAACAGCUCUUAGUAUGAUGUGGAGGACCACUUCAAACAUAUAGCUACAAUAAUAUACAGCGAUAUAAAUCCGCAUCUUGAUUGAUACAGCUCCUGGCUCUCAUUAAACAGGGUAAGCAUGACGAAUGAUGUGUAUAUUUAGCAAACCCGUUUGCUUUGAAGAAAUCGUUUUCACUGUUUGUUUUUCUUGUGCAAAGCUCAACUUUUAAGACAACGGAUUCUGCUCAUCGCUGUGUGUUAUAACUCAACCGAGACUACUCCCCAAAAGCAUGGGAACUUCAAAUGAGCCACAAAGAGUUGGGCUAUUGAUGUGGUGGCACAGCGGUUCCUAAAAUCUCCCCUAAGAGCUAUAAUAAGUGUCAUCAAAAGACUGACAUGGGGGAAUGUUCACGAGGGAAGGGGUUUUAACAUCUUGUAAAUGGUAUUUAAUGUUAUUAGAUGCAAACUCCACAGAGGAAGGCUUGAGCUGGGAUUCAAAACCUGAAUCUAUCGACUUUCAGCCAGACAGGCUAACCACUUAACAGGCAGGCAUUCGAUCCUACCUGUCAUGAAAAUCUAAACACAUGCAGUAUUCCAGCGUCAAGCAGCAAUGAACAGGCUCUGAUUCCCCAUUUUUCAGGACUACUCCUAAAAAAUGAGCAGCAAACUUUUACGCUAAUUUCGCCCACAUUAAACAUUCCAAUUGAGGCUCAUUUGGUUGAUCAAAGUGCAAUUUGCCCUAAAUUACUACUUCAAAUCAAACUUCCCAACUUCCUGUUCCCUUUUGUGCUUGGGACAUGUCCGCCGAAUUUUGGGUCAGCUGGCGAAACGAGUGUUAGUGUUGAUUAUUUCUCUGACAUUCCACUGGCGCUAUGAAUUUGGGGGAGCGCCGUCUUUGCUGUAAGUGCUAAAAUGGAAAAAAAAUGCUAAAAGAGAGAACAUCUUACCAGGAUAUGCGGGCUUGAAAAAUUGGUGAGUUUUUAAGCAUGUUGAGGCAAAAAGGCAAUUUGUUUGUCUGAAAAUUAAUAACACAUUUAUUCCAAGAGGGGGUUUGCCCCAGCUGGUGUUUGGAACAUAAUUUAAACAUCUGAAGAACUUUCAUGAAAAUCCGCAAACCACUCAACCCACCCAUGCUCAAAAUUUAUGAUAAUAAAUAUUUGUCUAAUGAUUACAUCAUCCCUCCAUUUUCUUCAGCGCUUCUCCUUGUCAGAGUUGUGCGUGAGGUGGAAUCAACCCCAUCUUAGUUUGGAUGCGAAGUGGUGUGCACCCUGCACUGGUCAAGAUCUCUGUACAUAUAUCAUAGCUAUAUCAACUCACACAUUCACACUUGUGAACAACAUAGAAUCUUCAAUUACCAUCAGUGUAAGAGGAAGCUGGAAUUACGGGAUACCCCAGACAAGCCAAGAGAACACAUCCACGUGCCACAUAUGACACCUGAGGUGAGAUUUGAAACCCACAACAUACUAACCCCAGCUCCUCGGCGCUCCCCUAAUAUGUUCGAAUAUAAAAAUACAACUUAGAGGUUACAUACCAUUUUAUUAAAGUCAAACGACAGGAUCAAGAUUCAAGCCCCGAGCCUCAGAAUUGUGAGACAAGCACGCUAACCAUUACCCCCACGUGCUGCAAUCAUGUAUUUCAUAAAUUUAAUAUGACCCUCAGAGGGCUUAAUAAAAACUGAGAUGGCUCCUGAGUGGAAAAUGCCUUGUUUGCUUUACCUCCGUUUCUGCUUUGGGUCUGAGGGACACCUUUGCAAGUACUGUAUAAUAUGCAUUGAAUUUAUGUAACGUUUUUCAUUAAUAAAUGAAUACACCGA